AGCCAGGAGGCUCCAGGUGGGAGGCACAGGUUCGCUGCUGGCGCCACCGGUGUGGGAGGAGUGACUGGGCUACUCGCCAGUCGCCUCAGGGACCUCUUCCUCUGCUUCACCCAGGCCUGGGAUACCCUUCAAUGUCCUCAGAGUUUUGAUUCCAAACUUCUUCACCCCUGUGAUUAUGGGGUAUCUCGGGCCCUUUGAAGGAGGUACCACAAGUGCUGGCACAUCAGACUUGCUCCCCUACCUGCACCGGAGCACUGCUGAGACAACAUCCCCUCCAGCGCAACCACAUAGUCAGGACCCAGCCAGUCCAGGUAGGCGGAAGCUACCUUGGGGUUUGGACCCACUCCUCGCUGAGACCACUCUCUAGCUUGGCUUACCUGGGCCUUGUCCAGAAGUCCAUACACAGUGAAGAUGUUGGUGUCUGGACGGACCAUGACAGCGUGGGAUGGCAUUUGUGCCAGGUUGCAAGCUUGGAACUGGUCUACCUCAGCCCGUGCCCCAUUGGGGCACAGUAGUUCAUAGUCUUGCCACCUGAGGUGAGAAGCCCAAGGCUCAGGAUUGUGACCUGAGGGACAUCAUGGGGUGGGAAGAAGGGGAAGAGAAAUCCAUGAGAUCCUUCACUGGGAAGAGGUGGUGAUAUCCGGACAGCAUCCCAAGCUGUGGUCUCGGCUGUCACAGGAGGGACAGGGCCCAACUAGCUGAAUGUGACAUUGAAGACUCAGUAGGACAGGCAUGGUUACCGCCCCUGCUUAUAACACAGGGUGGGGGUGAGGUGGGGACUAUCACCCCCACCUUACAACCCUUUACAAUUACAAAACCAGGGAGGGCUCUUAAUAAAGUUGCUUUUGUUUUGUU